AUUGAACGCUGGCGGCAGGCCUAACACAUGCAAGUCGAACGAGUGGCGGACGGGUGAGUAAUGUCUGGGAAACUGCCUGAUGGAGGGGGAUAACUACUGGAAACGGUAGCUAAUACCACAUACCAUCAGCUGUGCCCAGAUGGGAUUAGCUAGUAGGUGGGGUAAAGGCUCACCUAGGCGACGAUCCCUAGCUGGUCUGAGAGGAUGACCAGCCACACGGGAACUGAGACACGGUCCAGACUCCUACGGGAGGCAGCAGGGGGGAAGAUUGCACAAUGGUCGCAAGCCUGAUGCAGCCAUGCCGCGUGGAUGAAGAAGGCCUUCGGGUUGUAAAGUACUUUCAGCGGGGAGGCGUUACUCGCAGAAGAAGCACAGGCUAACUCCGUGCCAGCAGCCGCGGUAAUUC
rnacentral:rRNA from 1 species